rnacentral:rRNA from 1 species
UGGGGAAUUUUGCGCAAUGGGCGAAAGCCUGACGCAGCAACGCCGCGUGAGUGAUGAAGGCCCUUGGGUCGUAAAGCUCUGUCAGUGGGAACGAAGUGUUCAUGGUUAAUAGCCAUGGAUUUGACGGUACCCACAAAGGAAGCACCGGCUAACUCCGUGCCAGCAGCCGCGGUAAUACGGAGGGUGCAAGCGUUGUUCGGAUUUAUUGGGCGUAAAGGGCGUGUAGGCGGUUUUCUAAGUCUGAUGUGAAAGCCCUGGGCUCAACCUGGGAAGUGCAUUGGAAACUGGGAGACUUGAGUACGGGAGAGGGCAGUGGAAUUCCCAGUGUAGGAGUGAAAUCCGUAGAUAUUGGGAGGAACACCGGUGGCGAAGGCGGCUGCCUGGACCGAUACUGACGCUGAGACGCGAAAGCGUGGGGAGCAAACA